CCUCCCUCCCUUCCUUCCUUCCUUCCUUCCUGUCAUUGUUUGGUAAACAAGUAGAGAGAAGAGGAAAGAAAAGGAAGCACUACAGAAAUCAUGCAUAGAACAUGACAGAAGAGAGAAUCAGCUGAGUUAUACAAAGUUCAAGAAUACACAAUACUAAACCCAUAGUGAUCGUUCUGGGUGUUUGGGGAUGCUCUGUAUCAAUCUGCAAGCUGGUUACACAGGUUUCUGAACCAUGUCACCAUCUAUCAAUAUACCAUCUGAACCCUGGAAUCCACUCCACUUAAAUAACUUCACUCUGGUCCUCAUAUUUCAGAUUAAAAAUCAUUCUUACAAAAGGUGUUGUCUGAGUGUGGGCUGCUCUCUUGAAGUGUAAUGUUUCCUUUAUUACAGCAUUUAUAUUGUAAAAUUGCCUGCUCUUUUGUCUGAAUCUCCCAUUUUGCUCUCUAGCUUCAUGAAAAUGUGGAUCUUGCUUACUUUUUUUUUUCCCAGAUGUAUCUCCCCUAUUUAUCACAGAACCUUGCAAAUGACAGGUACUCAAAAUGUCAAGACAUUUGUCUUUUCUGGUGCCAGUACCAUAUUAAGUAUUAUAGUUUAACAAUAGAAUAGAGCAAACCAGUUCUCGUUCAUUUUUCCAAUUCAACAACAUCUAUUUUUUUUUUUAUUUGAGACAGGAAAUAAAACAUCCAAUAGAAGGUGUAUUACAAAUGAGAGUUAAGAGGUAGAAAACUGGAGUUCAUUCUUACUGUAGAAAACCUACCAGCUAGUGUGUAACACAUCUUCAAUCUAUUCCAUCAGAGAAUAAAGGAGCUUGUGCAUUUACACACCAAUUCCUGUUUGCUAUUGUUUAAGGAUGCUGCUGGGGCAGAUGUGUACUGAAUUAGUAAGGGUAAGUUAAUGUGCAGGGAGCCAAUGUCGUGUGCUACAGUUGUUUAACUGAGAUGUAAUUAUUAGUUAUUCUGUUGCAUAGGCUAUAAUAUAUAGUGCAAAAUUUAAUUGCCCUGGGAGGUAUUCUUAUAUUCCUGCAGCUUAAACCAUUGAGCAGGAAGAAAAGAUUAACAUUAAACAGAUACAUGAGGUGGGAGGGAAAGGGAGAGAAAAGGAAAAUUGCAUGGUAAUGGAGGGAUACCCUCAUUGUUAUACAAAAUUACAUAUAAGAGGUUGUGAGGGGAAUGGGAAAAUAAACAAGGAGAGAAAUGAAUUACAGUAGAUGGGGUAG